GUAAGAAUAAGCACCGGCUAACUACGUGCCAGCAGCCGCGGUAAUACGUAGGGUGCAAGCGUUAAUCGGAAUUACUGGGCGUAAAGCGUGCGCAGGCGGUUAUAUAAGUCAGAUGUGAAAUCCCCGGGCUCAACCUGGGAACUGCAUUUGAGACUGUAUAGCUAGAGUACGGUAGAGGGGGAUGGAAUUCCGCGUGUAGCAGUGAAAUGCGUAGAUAUGCG
rnacentral:rRNA from 1 species